rnacentral:piRNA from 1 species
UUUGUUUCUUACACAAAAUGCCUCUUUCAUG